rnacentral:lncRNA from 1 species
CUUAAUAUCAAAAUACAGCAAAAAUAAAUAAUUUGGACUUCCUUAAAACUAAAAGCAUUUGUAUUUCAAGAGAUACUACCAAUACAAUUAAAAGGCUUGGGGUUUAGUUGAAAACAUUUAUAAUUACAUAUUUAAUGAAUUUAAUGACAGACUUCGGUGAUUCCGUAAAUCCACUGUUAGAUCUGCAGUGCUGGAAGAAUUUAAAAUGUUCACACAAAAAACACUGCACAGCCAUGUUCAGAGCAGCCUUACUCAUGAUGGUGAAAGGGAGGACAGGACCCAGAUAUCCAUCAGCUGAUGGAUGGACCAACCAACUAGGGUAGACCCAUACAGUGACCAUGCUCUGUAGGGUUAUGAUGCAUGCUACAUCACCAUAGCCCUUGAAAACAUUGUGCAGUGUGAAAGAAACCAGUCACAAAAGGCCACGUCAUAAACAUGAGUCCAUUUGUGUGAAAACCCACGUGACAGAAGAAAGAUUACCACCAGGGGCUGGGGGAGGGGUUGGGAUUCUUCAGGAGGUGAUGCCAGUACUCUUUAAGUACUGAGGAUCAGUGAGUACACACACACACACACACACACACACACACACAAUCCUAUACUAUAAUAAAAGGAUGAGCUUCAUAUAUGACUUCCAGUUCAAUAAAGCUGUUAAUAUAUAUAUAUUAAACAUUUAUUUAUUUCUUUAUUUUAUGUAUAAGAGUAUACUGUCUGUCACUCUCUUCAGAGACACCAGAAGAGGGCAUCAAUCAGAUUUUAUUGCAGAUGGUUGUGGCCACCAUGUGGUUUGCUGGGUAUUGAACUCAGGACCUCUGCAAGAGCAGUCACUGCUCUUAACCACUGAGCCAUCUCUUCAGCCCAAAGCUGUUAUGUUUUUAACAAGGUAACAUAUUAGGCUGAAUGUAAAGGAGUCUGGGACAGGGAGAUGGCUCCAUCAAUAAGGUGCUUGCUAUGCAAGCCUAAGGACCUAUGUAAGCUCAGAUCCCAGCACCCACAUAAUCCCAACUCGGAGGUGGACAUAGAUGGAUCCUUGAGGCUCACACUGCUCAGAUAAGCAAGCCCAAUCAGUGAGCUCCAGGCUUAGUGCAAGACCCCGUGCCAAAAAGAAACAAAAAGGGGAAAGAAAUAUGACACCCAAUGUCAACCUCCAACAAGUGGGCUUCUCCAGGGCAGAAGAGCUCAGUGGAUGAGAGCAGCAGGCCCAGGGCUUCCUUAACUGCAGGAUAUUCCCCCUAGUGGCCCAGGCUUACUCCAUCUACUUUUGGAGUGACUGACUCCAGAUCUCACAGGCAACUCGAUGAGUGACAGCUCUCUGAGAACUCCAGAAACUCCAAUAAAGGCUCUCUCCUUCCUUGUUUGUUUUGUUUUGGUUUUGUUUUUGUUUUUAUUCAGUCUGGGAUGCCAGCCCAUAAGCUGGUGCUGCCCGUACAUAAGAUGAGCCUUUCUCCUUAGUGAGAGCUCUCUGGAAACCCUCUCACAGUCACAUCCAGAGGUUUGUCUUCUAGGUGACUCCAAAUCUAGUCAAGUUGCCAGUGAAGAGGAACCAUCACAGAGCUCUGGGGGCAGGCUUUGCCACUGGACAGAUGAGGACUAGAGUUGGGGGGGGGGGCAAGGGGCUAGGGGAGGACUUUCCAAUGGGAAUGGGAAUCAGAUAGACUAGGUGAAAGGUGUUGCAUUUGGGCUGAGCAUUAAAGGGUUGGGAGGCCUUGGCUGGCACAGUGAGGAAAGAAAAUCAUCCCAGAAGCAAAGGACAGCUUGGGCAAAGGCUCAAAGGCAGGAAGCAUGUAUGGCUAUCCUGGGCUGAUCUACUGUGUUCAGCAAGGCCAGGCAGACAUAUACAGGAAGGAGCUUAGUUGGAGCUAGGCUUAAGUACAUGAAGCAAUACUUGGUGCUGUAAUAGAUUAGAUCUAAACCACACUCUCAAGGCCAUCCUAUCUGAGAGAAGUUAUAAAGCCUAGGACACAGAGUCACACAGUAGGACUUGUACUAGGAGCUUCAGAAUAGCUUCUGUUAUCAGAAGCAUCAUAUGAAGAAAAGGAAAAUUUUGGAGCAGCCAAAUCUGACUGCAGAGAGACUAUGGGGAGGUUUGCUGCCACCAGGCAACUUCUCCGAAGGAGAUCUGCUCCCUGUUCUUCAGCGACACUAAGCUCAGGCAGGAGUACCAAGUAGUCAGCCCACACUGGCAAAAACAAGACAAAACAAAAGGGCAUCAAGAACCAGGCAUGACUAGUGUAAACCCUGUGAAGUCAGUAUCUGAGAGACUGAGGCAGUAAGAUCAUGAGUUUGUGCCCAGCCUGCUGGGCUAUUUGGGGGGAAAGGAGGAGGAGAAAGAGGAGGAGGAGGAGGAGGAAGAUGGAAGGAAGGGAUGGAAAGAGGGGAGGGGAGGAGGGGAGGGGAGGGGAGGGGAAGGGAAGGGAGACGAGAUCAAGGCGGGAAGACAAGCUAGUAGUAAGGAUGGUCAUACAAG